rnacentral:rRNA from 1 species
GGGGAAUAUUGCACAAUGGGGGAAACCCUGAUGCAGCGACGCCGCGUGGAGGAAGAAGGUCUUCGGAUUGUAAACUCCUGUUGUUGAGGAAGAUAAUGACGGUACUCAACAAGGAAGUGACGGCUAACUACGUGCCAGCAGCCGCGGUAAAACGUAGGUCACAAGCGUUGUCCGGAAUUAUUGGGCGUAAAGGGCUCGUAGGCGGUUCGUCGCGUCCGGUGUGAAAGUCCAUCGCUUAACGGUGGAUCCGCGCCGGGUACGGGCGGGCUUGAGUGCGGUAGGGGAGACUGGAAUUCCCGGUGUAACGGUGGAAUGUGUAGAUAUCGGGAAGAACACCAAUGGCGAAGGCAGGUCUCUGGGCCGUCACUGACGCUGAGGAGCGAAAGCGUGGGGAGCGAACAGGAUUAGAUACCCUGGUAGUCCACGCCGUAAACGGUGGAUGCUGGAUGUGGGGACCAUUCCACGGUCUCCGUGUCGGAGCCAACGCGUUAAGCAUCCCGCCUGGGGAGUACGGCCGCAAGGCUAAAACUCAAAGAAAUUGACGGGGGCCCGCACAAGCGGCGGAGCAUGCGGAUUAAUUCGAUGCAACGCGAAGAACCUUACCUGGGCUUGACAUGUUCCCGACAGCCGUAGAGAUACGGUCUCCCUUCGGGGCGGGUUCACAGGUGGUGCAUGGUCGUCGUCAGCUCGUGUCGUGAGAUGUUGGGUUAAGUCCCGCAACGAGCGCAACCCUCGCCCUGUGUUGCCAGCACGUCGUGGUGGGAACUCACGGGGGACCGCCGGGGUCAACUCGGAGGAAGGUGGGGAUGACGUCAGAUCAUCAUGCCCCUUACGUCCAGGGCUUCACGCAUGCUACGAUGGCCGGUACAACGGGAUGCGACACCGCGAGGUGGAGCGGAUCCCUUAAAACCGGUCUCAGUUCGGAUUGGAGUCUGCAACCCGACUCCAUGAAGGCGGAGUCGCUAGUAAUCGCGGAUCAGCAACGCCGCGGUGAAUGCGUUCCCG